AAGUGACGUGACUCUGUGCCCCACUUUACCGUCCUCUACGGUAAUUGGCACGUUACGUCAAUCAUGUUUUGGCGGGAUGUUAUCAUAUCACCCGAGACCCCUAUAUCUAAAUCAAAGACCUCAGCUGUUACAUGGCAUUUGUGUUCGCCCUUUGACACACAAACUGUCACAGCCUUUCAAAUCUUCAGCGAUGGAGGGAUACAGCCUUUUUCAGAGUCGUUGCCGAGCUGCUAUCAGCAAACACCACGCUGACCUUUGCACCCACUCAGCUUUACAGCAGCUGUACAGACAGUGGAAGCCUCUAGCCCGGUGGGCUCGGAAUGUUAUGUUUACUAGCCAGACCUUCCUCCACAGCACUGCGAGGAGGGUCUGGCUAGUAGUCUGGCUGCAAGACUAGUAGACACUCAACAAAAGAGGACAGAGUACUGACCGUAUCUGCUGAUGCUGCGUGGGAAGCUGGCUGAAGAAGGAAUAUUGAAAGAGGACAUCUGUUUGGGCACCAAGGCCACCACACAGCGCUCAGACACCUGGAAGACAAAGG